UACGUAGGGCGCAAGCGUUAUCCGGAAUUAUUGGGCGUAAAGAGCUCGUAGGCGGUUUGUCGCGUCUGCCGUGAAAGUCCGGGGCUCAACUCCGGAUCUGCGGUGGGAUACGGGCAGACUAGAGUGAUGUAGGGGAGACUGGAAUUCCUGGUGUAGCGGUGAAAUGCGCAGAUAUCAGGAGGAACACCGAUGGCGAAGGCAGGUCUCUGGGCAUUAACUGACGCUGAGGAGCGAAAGCAUGGGGAGCGAACAGG
rnacentral:rRNA from 1 species